CCAGAUGAAAAUAUACCAAAUUACACCCACGAAUUCGAAACAUUGUUCAUCCAAACACACCCUUCACCAACGCAUAUACGGAGUCUCAUCCGUCCGACAGGUCUGCCUCGACUGUGCCGACCUGGUACCGCAACGAGGACGCAUUCGUCGCCGUCGGGCGUGCGCCGUUGUGCGCCGUCGUCGAACUUCAUUCGUAGUGGCGGAGGAGUGUUGGAAUCGAAGACAGGG
rnacentral:lncRNA from 1 species